CAGUCGCCGCGGGAAUACGAAGGGUGCAAGCGUUAAUCGGAAUUACUGGGCGUAAAGCGUGCGUAGGCGGUGAGUUAAGUCUGCUGUGAAAUCCCCGGGCUCAACCUGGGAAUGGCAGUGGAUACUGCUCGCUAGAGUGUGUCAGAGGAUGGUGGAAUUCCCGGUGUAGCGGUGAAAUGCGUAGAGAUCGGGAGGAACAUCAGUGGCGAAGGCGGCCAUCUGGGACAACACUGACGCUGAGGCACGAAAGCGUGGGGAGCAAACAGGAUUAGAUACCCCUGUAGUCCCUGUCUCUUAUACA
rnacentral:rRNA from 1 species